rnacentral:rRNA from 1 species
UACAGAGGUGCCAAGCGUUGUUCGGAUUUAUUGGGCGUAAAGGGUGCGUAGGUGGUGAUGCAAGUCGGGUGUGAAAUCCCGGAGCCUAACUCCGGAAUGGCAUUCGAAACUGCAUCGCUAGAGGUCUGGAGAGGUGACUGGAAUUCUCGGUGUAGCAGUGAAAUGCGUAGAUAUCGAGAGGAACACCUGCGGCGAAGGCGGGUUGCUGGGCCGACACUGACGCUGAUGCGCGAAAGCCAGGGGAGCGGACGGG